rnacentral:rRNA from 1 species
GAUAAACGCUGGCGGCGUGCUUCAGGCAUGCAAGUCGAACGAGUUUCAGGGCUUCGGCCCUGGCGCUAGUGGCGGACGGGUGAGUAACACGUAAGUAACCUGCCCAGAUGUGGGGGAUAACCCGCCGAAAGGCGAGCUAAUACCGCAUGUGAUGCCACCCUGGUGGGGUGUCAUGAAAGGCGAAAGCCGCGUUUGGAGGGGCUUGCGGCCGAUUAGCUAGUUGGUGGGGUAAUGGCCUACCAAGGCGACGAUCGGUAGCUGGUCUGAGAGGACGGUCAGCCACACGGGGACUGAGACACGGCCCCGACUCCUACGGGAGGCAGCAGCUAGGAAUCUUGGGAAUGCGCGAAAGCGUGACCCAGCAACGCCGCGUGAGCGAUGAAGGCCUUAGGGUUGUAAAGCUCUUUUGCAGGGGAAGAUGAUGACGGUACCCUGCGAAUAAGCCACGGCUAACUACGUGCCAGCCGCCGCGGUAA